GAUGAACGCUGGCGGCGUGCCUAAUACAUGCAAGUCGAGCGAACGGACGAGAAGCUUGCUUCUCUGAUGUUAGCGGCGGACGGGUGAGUAACACGUGGAUAACCUACCUAUAAGACUGGGAUAACUUCGGGAAACCGUAGCUAAUACCGGAUAAUAUUUUGAACCGCAUGGUUCAAAAGUGAAAGACGGUCUUGCUGUCACUUCUAGAUGGAUCCGCGCUGCAUUAGCUAGUUGGUAAGGUAACGGCUUACCAAGGCAACGAUGCAUAGCCGACCUGAGAGGGGGAUCGGCCACACUGGAACUGAGACACGGUCCAGACUCCUACGGGAGGCAGCAGUAGGGAAUCUUCCGCAAGGGGCGAAAGCCUGACGGAGCAACGCCGCGUGAGUGAUGAAGGUCUUCGGAUCGUAAAACUCUGUUAUUAGGGAAGAACAUAUGUGUAAGUAACUGUGCACAUCUGGACGGUACCUAAUCAGAAAGCCACGGCUAACUACGU
rnacentral:rRNA from 1 species